CGUUUGCGUCUCCGCAGAGCCCGUACUUCUUGAACUUUGACUGCUUCUGAGCGGCGACGCGGGGGGAUAAUACGCAUGCGUCGUUUCUUUGCAUGGCUAGCGUCCUUAUCCUAGCGGCGGCGGGAGCUGCGGUGGCCGCGCUGCUGGCACUGCGGCUGUGGGUAGUGCUCCAUUCUCAGGUCCUGGUGCCCCGUCAGUCUCUCAGUCUCUUGGUGGUGGCUGGGUCCGGUGGGCACACCACUGAGAUCCUGAGGCUGCUUGAGAACCUGUCCAAUGCUUACUCUCCUAGACAUUAUAUCAUUGCUGAUACUGAUGAAAUGAGUGCCCAUAAAAUAAAUUCUUUUGAACUAAAUCGAGCUGAUAGAGACCCCAGUACCAUGCUUCCCGAAUACUACAUUCACCGCAUUCCCAGAAGCCGGGAGGUUCAGCAGUCCUGGCUCUCCACGGUGCUCACCACCCUGUACUCCAUGUGGGUCUCCUUUCCCUUGACUCACAGAGUAAAACCAGAUUUGAGACCAAACCCGAGACGCAGAAGCUGGAGUAAUUUGCCCUCCGUCGCACAGCUGGUUAGUGGCUGGGCCAAGGCUUGGGUUGCUACCCCUGUGAUUCCACACUCCUCCCUUCCAUGCCGCCACCCAACAAAACUGCAGAAUCCGCCCACCCCGGGGCUCUCAGAAGACAGAGGGGGUCCAGAGAAGCUGCGGGCCACCAGUGGAGUGGCUCUUCGACAGCAUCUUACGUAAUCGGCGCCGGACAGAGAAGGUAGCAGAGAGCAGUGGUGGCAAAGCUUCCCCCGAAAACAAUUACCAUGGGAAGCUGAUUCAACAGAAAAAUAUUUGAUACAAGAGUAUGACAGUUAAUCCUAGGAUUUCACUUUUUGUUCUGAACUUCUGACCCACAGCUGCUGGUGCAGCCACGGAAUAUCAAGAAGGUAACCGAACUAGAUUUUCACCCUGUCCAACAAGCAUGUGGCCAAUCAAAUAAGUCGGUCUUUGUUGACUUCCUUUAAACUCUAAAGCCAGGAAAUCACUUCUAAUAUGUGAAGACCCCCACCUUCCCUUCAAGGACAUCCUGAGGCACAGAAAUAAAAUCUAAACAAACAUCCUUUCAAUUACUCUUCAUAAUGAAACAUCCAGCAAAUUCUAGGAUGCAAGAGGUAUCCCUGAAGGAGAGUGCAAAAGAUGCAGUCCACACAAGAUCCAGAAAGGUCACUCCUGGCAUAAGCCUAAGAAAGCAAAGACCUCCGUUGUCACAAGUAGUAAGAAUUGUAUAGUGAGGUCUCUCACAGAAAAACUAAUCUGGGUCACAGGGCAAGUGCUACUGGAAUGGGACUUUUCCAGAACUAACAAGACAAUGAAGGUUGAGGUGACAGAGGCCCCUUAUGGACCGGGACCCCUUAGCAAUCCCCUGAGAUCUGGCACAGUCUACAAAGAGAAGGCUGCCUGUGACUUUGUGUCUUGGAAUUCCAGUCUAUUCAAAUGGCCACCAGAUGCACACCAGUAUGUACACCUUCCAGAUGGUGCAGGCCAGAGGGAAUAUUCUUAGUGGUCAUAAAGCCAAACUCUCAGGACAUAGAAGAAGACAAAGGAAAAACUCAUCAGACCCAUGGUUUUUCCCUUUAUGACAAACAACACAAAAGACAGAGACAAAAGAAAACAAUGACCAUCUCUGGGAGAAAGGAUCGAUAGAAGACGAGAGUCCUCGUUACCAAAUCUUCACCAGAGUCGCUCUACACAAAGAAAGAAAUCCACAGGUGUUUUCUCCUGUCAGUCUAAAUUUUAAAAAAGGACUCUCACCACUCUCACUUCCAGCAGACCCCUCAGACAGAAGUCCAGGAGACUGACACGAUAAGAAUUCCCAGCUUCUAUCAGUGCUUGUCAGAAUUCCCAAGAUCUCAGUGGCAGCAGCCCUGGGGCAAGCCCUGUCCAGCUAGUGAAAUCUCCUGGCUGCCUCACCAACGCUGUAGGGGAAAAAAUAAAUUUCCAUCUACCUUUCUAGAUUCUUGGCUGAGACACACCCUGUAAUAAAAGAUUAACAGGAAAAAAAUAAAUUUAAUUUAAUUUAGUAUGUACAUGGGCCCCAAAAUUAUGACACCAAAAGUAGGGACCAAAGCAGGCAGCUUUUAUACCUUUCGGAGAAAGAAUACAUUUAUAAAGAACUAACAGGACAAAGGACGCCUCUACCCUCCAGGUGCUGGGAGGGUACCGUUCACAUAGGGACUUUAUUUCUUGCUUUCAGGGGGACAG